AUCGCNGCUAUCAUGCAAGUCGUGGGGCAGCGCAGUGUAGCAAUACAUGGGCGGCGACCGGCAAACGGGUGCGUAACACGUACGCAACCUUCCCGUUACUGGUGAAUAGCCCAGGGAAACUUGGAUUAAUACACCAUAUUAUAUUGACUAGGCAUCUGGUUAAUAUCAAAGCUUCGGCGGUAACGGAUGGGCGUGCGGUUGAUUAGUUAGAUGGUGAGGUAACGGCUCACCAUGGCAGCGAUAGGUAGGGGCCCUGAGAGGGGGAUCCCCCACACUGGUACUGAGACACGGACCAGACUCCUACGGGAGGCAGCAGUGAGGAAUAUUGGACAAUGGGCGCAAGCCUGAUCCAGCCAUGCCGCGUGCAGGAAGACGGCCCUAUGGGUUGUAAACUGCUUUUAUACGGGAAGAAUAAGGGACACGUGUGUCCUGGUGACGGUACCGUAAGAAUAAGGACCGGCUAACUCCGUGCCAGCAGCCGCGGUAAUACGGAGGGUCCGAGCGUUAUCCGGAAUUAUUGGGUUUAAAGGGUCCGCAGGCGGGCAAUUAAGUCAGGGGUGAAAUGGUGCGGCUCAACCGUAGCACUGCCCUUGAUACUGGUUGUCUUGAGUCAUAGUGAAGUGGCCGGAAUAUGUAGUGUAGCGGUGAAAUGCAUAGAUAUUACAUAGAACACCGAUUGCGAAGGCAGGUCACUAACUAUCGACUGACGCUGAUGGACGAAAGCGUGGGGAGCGAACGGGAUUAGAUACCCCGGUAGUCCACGCCGUAAACGAUGGAUACUAGCUGUCCGCUGCCUUGAGCAGUGGGCGGCCCAGCGAAAGUGAUAAAGUAUCCCACCUGGGGAGUACGU
rnacentral:rRNA from 1 species